CAGCCCUCCUCACCCCUCUCCUCUUGCUUCCCCAGCCAAUCCAAGUUCACCAUCACCAAGUGUGAAUUUGGCGAUGUCCCCAAGGACACCAACAGCAAGCAUUGACCAGGAGGAUUCAAGCCUGACAAGAUAUGUCAGGUCAAUCCUAAUGAAACUGGACAAAAUUGAGCAGCGUCUUGAGGUCAUUAAUUCUGCAAUAAGCCAUGGUAUUACAUCUCAGGACCCUGAGAUCUUGGAGGACUUUGGAACACCA